UUUUAAGUAUAAGUAUGCCCCAUGCAACAUUUGAGGCAUACUUAUACUGAAA
rfam:Papio anubis isolate 1X1155 chromosome 19, whole genome shotgun sequence.